GGGGAUAUAACGCAGUGGUUAGCGUGUUUGCUUUGCAAGUAAAAAGUCGUGGGUUCGAAUUUAAAAAUUUCCCACUUUCUCCA
rnacentral:tRNA from 1 species